GGAACGGUGGCUAUACCGGGUGUGCCGAGGUGAAGGUUACUGCCUGGAGAUGAGCUCGCGUCUGAUUAGCUAGUUGGUAGGGUAAAAGCUUACCAAGGCGACGAUCAGUAGCUGGUCUGAGAGGACGAUCAGCCACACUGGGACUGAGACACGGCCCAGACUCCUACGGGAGGCAGCAGUGGGGAAUUUUCCGCAAUGGGCGAAAGCCUGACGGAGCAAUACCGCGUGAGGGAGGAAGGCUCUUGGGUUGUAAACCUCUUUUCUCAGGGAAGAAUAUGACGGUACUUGAGGAAUAAGCAUCGGCUAACUCCGUGCCAGCAGCCGCGGUAAUACGGAGGAUGCAAGCGUUAUCCGGAAUGAUUGGGCGUAAAGCGUUCGCAGGUGGCAUUGAAAGUCUGCUGUCAAAGAGUCUGGCUCAACCAGAUACAGGCAGUGGAAACUUCAAAGCUAGAGUGCGGUAGGGGCAGAGGGAAUUCCUGGUGUAGCGGUGAAAUGCGUAGAGAUCAGGAAGAACACCGGUGGCGAAAGCGCUCUGCUAGGCCGCAACUGACACUGAGGA
rnacentral:rRNA from 1 species